UACUGGUAUUCGCUGGUUUAGUUAUUUUCAUGACUAUCUCAGGCUUUGGUACCGGCGAGAGAGUUGGUACAUUUAUUGACGCCUUUUAUGUGGCUUACUGUACGGUCUUCUCAGUUGGUUUCGGCGAUAUUUCUCCUCUGAAGUCUCUUACUCGGAUUCUUUGUGAUGUGCUGGGAUUGGUGGUUAGACCUAUUGUAGUGAUGGUACACACUCAUUUUUUGGGUCGGCUAGCAUGCGAGUUGGAGCGGCGGAUUUCAUCUCGCUUUCUUAUGAGAUAUUGAGUGUAUUCAGCUCUUGGUAUGAUCUUGCUGACUCUAUUUUUUGGGAUGGCUAGCAUUUAUAUCUUAGAGUGGCUGCACCUAGCUAGUGGAUCUCCAUCUCCAUCUCCAUCUCCUUCCACUAUGUUACCUACUGAUGCAUACGCAUGGGUCCUCUUUGUUGACAUAUUCCACCUCUCAGUUAUGAUGAUGAUUACCACUGGAUUUGGAGAUUUCGUCUUCACUACUGCAUCUGGGAGAGCGUUUGCCAUAGUAUGGGUUCCUUUCUCUACUAUAGUGUUUAUGGUUGCGAGUACGUUCUUGGCUCAGACUUUUUUGUUCUAUCUUGCACCUAUCAUUGGAGGUUACAGCUUGCCCCAGGGGAUCCAUCGUCACUGAUGAGCAUGGAGGAUCCAGUUUCGUCAUUCUUGGAUACAUUUGUCAUGUUGAUGAUAGUAUUAGUAUUUCUUUCCGGACAGAUACAGUGUUAGUAGUGUUUAUGGAUAUAUAGUGCCACAUAUAAUUCAGGUUUUGGUCUUAAAGAGUCAUCCUUUUUAGUGGUUUUGUUUACUUGGGUUUAGAGCAGCUUUCGUGGUUUAGGCUGGUGUUCUUUUAAAUUUGAUUUCUAGUUGGAGGAUUUGGUUGGGACUGCAGUGACUUCGGCUUCUUUGUUUGCAUGUCCAAGUCACAUAAGGUAUAGAAUUUGACUGAUAGGACCUGGACUUUGGUGUUUUUGAUCCAAGACAACAAAAUUAGUAUUUUGGCAUACCAAAUAUAGGUGUGAACUUAGAAAAGUCCUUCAUGAUUACAGUUCUCUAUAAGGAAUUUUGCAAUACACCCACUGAUGUUUGAGGUAAAGCUGUUUAAAUUUUUAUGUUCCAUUGGUAUUCCAAUUCUAAUAUUACUCUUAUUCGUCCAAGCUCAAAAGUACAUUUGUUAUUUUUAUGUUCGUAGUGUACAAUUAUGCCUCGCCCUUUGCAAGUUGAUGACAUGCUCUAAAUUCUGCCCGUUUUUUUUUUUUUUUGUUGCAAGCUAUGUGUAUCAAUUGAAAUGAUCCUAUGAACACCUGAUGGCUUCCAAUUUUGUGGUGUUUUCAUACGUCUUUGUCGGCAUUGCAAGUAUGUGACAAGUGUAGUAGCUCUACUGGUUAUAAAAGAGUACACAUAUUUUAGCUUAUAAAGUUUGUAUUUCCAUUUUAUUAUCAGUUGUUUUAUUCUGCUUGGAGAUCUGGAUGAAGUUUAAUGGAUAUUGUUAUCUAAAGCUUUAUCCUUUCCUUUUUUGGUAGGUUUUGGAAUUUGGUUUGUUCAUACCUAAGAAUUUGGACUCAGUAAUUGGAGAACCGGGGAAGAAAGAAACAAAUAGCUGGUUAUUUUAUCAUUUCUUCGUUUGUUUAAAAUCUUUCCACCUUCAUAUAUACUAUGCCGUGUCAUUUGACUUUUGAGAAGAGCGGGGGGCGUGGCGCUGGCGUUUGGGGGCUAUUCAUGGAGCAAGCCAUGAGCGAGUGGCCAAAUUACACGUUGAGGAGGAAGAAGCAAUGGUUGGAGAACAACCACGACAACAAGUUUAGUUAGAUUCACCAUUUUUUGAAUGGAGUACUUCAGCUGAUCAAACAUCGUUCUUACCAUCCUAAGCCAGUUUUGGACACUACUGAAGUCAAACAUGUAAAAAAAGUUCCAUGGUUCGAACUCGUUGAGUGAAAUCCAAAGUGAAUGUCUAUGUACUUAGAAAUGAGUUGGAAUAUUCCGAUUAAUCAGUGAU